rnacentral:rRNA from 1 species
UACGGAGGGGGUUAGCGUUGUUCGGAAUUACUGGGCGUAAAGCGCGCGUAGGCGGACUAUUAAGUCGGGGGUGAAAUCCCGGGGCUCAACCCCGGAACUGCCCUCGAUACUGGUAGUCUUGAGUUCGAGAGAGGUGAGUGGAAUUCCGAGUGUAGAGGUGAAAUGCGUAGAUAUAGGAAGGAACAUCAGUGGCGAAGGCGGCUCACUGGCUCGAUACUGACGCUGAGGUGCGAAAGUGUGGGGAGCAAACAGG